CCCGGGCUUGAGCCCCGCGCCAUGGCCGGGGCCAUCGCUUCCCGCAUGAGCUUCAGCUCUCUCAAGAGGAAGCAACCCAAGACGUUCACCGUGCGGAUCGUCACUAUGGACGCCGAGAUGGAGUUCAAUUGCGAGAUGAAGUGGAAAGGGAAGGACCUAUUUGAUUUGGUGUGCCGGACUCUGGGGCUUCGAGAAACCUGGUUCUUUGGACUGCAGUACACAAUCAAGGACACAGUGGCCUGGCUCAAAAUGGACAAGAAGGUGCUGGAUCAUGAUGUUUCAAAGGAAGAACCAGUCACCUUUCACUUCCUGGCCAAAUUUUAUCCUGAGAAUGCCGAAGAGGAGCUGGUUCAGGAGAUCACACAGCAUUUAUUCUUCUUGCAGGUAAAGAAGCAGAUUUUAGAUGAAAAGAUCUACUGCCCUCCUGAGGCUUCUGUGCUCCUGGCUUCUUACGCCGUCCAGGCCAAGUAUGGUGACUACGACCCCACUGUUCACAAGCGGGGAUUUUUGGCCCAAGAGGAAUUGCUUCCAAAAAGGGUAAUAAAUCUGUAUCAGAUGACUCCAGAAAUGUGGGAAGAGAGAAUUACUGCCUGGUACGCAGAGCACCGAGGCAGAGCCAGGGAUGAAGCUGAAAUGGAAUAUCUGAAGAUAGCUCAGGACCUGGAGAUGUAUGGUGUGAACUACUUUGCAAUCCGGAAUAAAAAGGGCACAGAGCUGCUGCUUGGAGUGGACGCCCUGGGGCUUCACAUCUAUGACCCUGAGAACAGGCUGACCCCCAAGAUCUCCUUCCCAUGGAAUGAAAUUCGAAACAUCUCAUACAGUGACAAGGAGUUUACUAUUAAACCACUGGAUAAGAAAAUUGAUGUCUUCAAGUUUAACUCCUCAAAGCUUCGUGUUAAUAAGCUGAUUCUCCAGCUAUGUAUCGGGAACCAUGAUCUAUUUAUGAGGAGAAGGAAAGCUGAUUCUUUGGAAGUUCAGCAGAUGAAAGCCCAGGCCAGGGAGGAGAAGGCUAGAAAGCAGAUGGAGCGGCAGCGCCUCGCUCGAGAGAAGCAGAUGAGGGAGGAGGCUGAACGCACGAGGGAUGAGUUGGAGAGGAGGCUGCUGCAGCUGAAAGAAGAAGCAACAAUGGCCAAUGAAGCACUGAUGCGAUCCGAGGAGACGGCUGACCUGUUGGCUGAAAAGGCCCAGAUCACCGAGGAGGAGGCAAAACUUCUGGCCCAGAAGGCUGCAGAGGCCGAGCAGGAAAUGCAACGCAUCAAGGCCACAGCCAUUCGCACGGAGGAGGAGAAGCGCCUGAUGGAGCAGAAGGUGCUAGAGGCCGAGGUGUUGGCCCUGAAGAUGGCUGAGGAGUCAGAGAGAAGGGCCAAAGAGGCCGAUCAGCUGAAGCAGGACCUGCAGGAAGCGCGUGAGGCGGAGCGAAGAGCCAAGCAAAAGCUCCUGGAGAUCGCCACCAAGCCCACGUACCCGCCCAUGAACCCAAUUCCAGCACCGCUGCCUCCUGACAUACCAAGCUUCAACCUCAUUGGUGACAGCCUGUCUUUCGACUUCAAGGAUACUGACAUGAAGCGGCUUUCCAUGGAGAUAGAGAAAGAAAAAGUGGAAUACAUGGAAAAGAGCAAGCAUCUGCAGGAGCAGCUCAAUGAACUCAAGACAGAAAUCGAGGCUUUGAAACUGAAAGAGAGGGAGACGUCCCUGGAUAUUCUGCACAACGAGAACUCCGACAGGGGUGGCAGCAGCAAGCACAAUACCAUUAAAAAGCCUCAAGCCCAAGGCAGAAGACCUAUCUGCAUUUGAGUCCUCAAAGUAGGUUGUUCCCAGGUACUCUCUGUGUGGUGAUGGUACUGCCCUCUGUGAUACUAACCCGUGCAUGAGCUUGCCUGUCUCUGUCCUUGGGCCACACUGAGCCCUCUCGAGGGCAGGUGGUGCCUGGGUACUGGCCGCAGCAUGCUUUGAGUCUAAGGCAGGCAUCCGCCCUGUGGAGCCAGACCAGCCUCCAGGGACCCAGAAGACUGCCUCGUUCCAAAGAGCAUGUCAUGGGGCUGUAGGACCAGCCAUUCUUUCCAUCUCAUGUCAUUCUUGGGCUGGGGAAGGUUAUGGCUUCUUGUCCAGUCAGGUGUGUCUAAAAGUCCUUUGUCUUGGUGGCGUAUUCCUUAGAUAAAUAACCCUAGCAUGGAAAUGGGGUCAAUCUGGGCACUUUUGAGACUGGUAUCUUUAACUCGAGAUCAAGACCUUUCAUGUGGUGACAGCCUCUCAAGACCCAUGGUCACACCUGGCAGCUUCUGUUGUCGGGUGAAGGGGUUGCCUGUGCUGGCUCAUUUUCCUUUAGAGCUUCCCCUUUCUAUACACAUCCCUUUUCUUUUCAAAUAAAGCAAACCCAGAGCACAGGGUUCUGAUGUUUGAGUCCAUGGGGAGUGGCCUGUCUGCUCAUCUGUGCUCAGCCGCCUCUGCUUCAGCUUCCUCUCCACAGGCUGAGCGGAGAUGUGGUCGGAGUGAACUCACAGUGGAACAGUGCAGUCACAGCACCCCUGAGAGGAGCGGUCACUGGUUGCUGAGUGAAUUAACUGAAGUUUGCUGCUUUUCUUCUGCAACAGUUCAUUAUUCUUUCAGCAUGCCUAGGCAGGGGAGAGAAUUUAUUUUGUCCAGUAAUAAAAUGACAUCCUGCCUCUUCUUCUCACCUAAUCCUCAGUAGUACCCAUGCCAACAAGCCCCCACCACCUGCCAGCAGCCUGGGAUGUGUUCUCUGGAGUCUUCCCCGCAGUUUCUGCCUGUAGAAUAGAAUAAGCUCAUUGGAAGCUUCCUACCAAAAAGAGAUCUGGCAUAAGAUAGGUCCUACUUGUGGUUGUUAUGCCAUCAAGAGAGGUCAGCUGUUAAAGUCCCUGAUAGAUCUUAUUAUAAGGUACACUCGAGCUGUCAGUGGUUCCAAGAAUCCAUGGCAUGAACCCUGUUUCAUAUGUGACACUUUCUAUUUAGCAGGCUCCUGUUUCUUCAGCUUUCAUACCCACAUUGGCAUUGAUACCCUGACACAGAACAGUGCGUGCUUUAAGCAGGGCAGUUACGGCCAGCAUUAUGACAGGCAGGCCAGUUCACGGCACCCAGAACAGCCAGGUGGAUCCACCUUGGUUUACUGAACUUUGUGAACCACGGGGGCAAGCAGAAAACCCCGCUGUAUUCCAGCCAGUGCUGCCAGGUGUUCCCUCCAUGGGCAGAUGCUGCUCAACCCCAGUGUGAUUUCCUUUUGCUUCUUUCUAUAAUGAAAGAAUGCUUAAAUUCUUAAAUUCUUCAGGUCCUGAUUUUGACUGUCAUUUCUCACUGGGCUUUUACUACAGACAAAAGAAGUUUCAUUUUUAGUUAAAUUUGCACUGCUCUGAGGACAUACAUGGAUGCAUUUAUUUGUUCGCUCAUUUCAAUGUCUUGAUGUGAACUUGUUUUUAAAGCAGGCUGCCAGGCAGUUAAUCAGAUACUGGUUAAUCAAGGGUUAGUAAAGGCAUGGACUUGAUAUUUAAAUGACAGGUGUUCUCUCAGCAUCGCUAGAUUAAAUAACGCUGCACGAUUAAAUUCUGCUGCACAUGAAGUUCACUGCACGUUCCAUUUUCUAGACUUUGGCAGUCCCUGUGGUCAGUGACCGGGACUGAUGACCAGCCACAUGCCGGCACCAGGGUGGCUCUGGGGUGGUGCAUGCUGUAGUCUGGCUGACACAAGCCUAGCUGAAGAGAAGUGCUGCUUUCGGCUUGGAUGUGGGGAUAUCUAGAUAUCAAGGGCAGAACUCCAUCUAGAAAGCCUGCGGAUGAGAGAUGCAAAGGCUGGUAGUGAAUGGAACAGUUUCCAGUGUCCCAAAAGCUCGCUAAUCUGGGUUCAAAGCAGCCUGCAUUGGUGUUAGUUUUGUUUUGUUUUGAGACAGUGUCUCUCUCUGUUACCCAGGCUGGUGUGAUCUCAGCUCACUGCAGCCUCCACUUCCCAGGCUCAAGUGAUCCUCCUGCCUCAGCCUCCCAAGUAGCUGGGACUAGCCACCACACUCAACUGAUUUUUGUAUCUUGUGUAGAGAUGGGGUUUUGCCAUGUUGCCCAGGCUGGUCUUGAACUCCUGGGCUCAGCCGAUCCUCCCACCUCUGCCUCCCAGAGUGCUGGGAUUACCAAAGUGAGCCACUGUUCCUGGCCUGUUUUGUUUUUAAUAUGGUUUUUUGUUUUGUUUUUUUUUUUUUUUGAGAGAGGGUCUCAGUCUUUCACCCACAUUGGUGACAGCCUCGACCUUCUAGGCUCAUGCAAACCUCCCAACUUAGCCUCCCAAGUAGCUGAGACUACAGGCACAUGCCACCAUGCUUGACUGAUUUAUUUUUGUUUUUGUAAAUAUGGGUUUCCCCAUGUUGUCCAGGCUGGUCUUGAACUCCUGAGCUCAAGUGGUCUUCCCGCCACGGCCUCCCAAAAUGCUGGGAUUACAGACAUGAGCAGUCUUGCCUGGCCAUUGUAUUUGUCCUCACUUUCAGUACUCUUCUGCCUCACUGAGAGGUCUCAGAGUAUGCUGUGUGGUUUCAGCAGUACCCAUGGGGGCCAUGUAACAAGAAGCUAGUUCAAGGGGUUUGCCCUUAGGUUAUGAGGGGUAACUCCAGUCCCUCAGGAAUGCUGAGUGGCCAUCCACUCGGAUUAACUGAGGUUCCCACUUCUCGGCCACUGUCUUUCUCUACAAUUCUUACUCUCUUGAGGCACAGUGUCCUCACCUGUAAAAGGUGAAUAAAAACAGUCUUUGCUCCCCAGGACUGUUGUGAGGAAUAAAUGAGGGAGUGUGCAUGAAACACUCAGCGCAGUCAGAGGGCAGCAGGGGCUUAAAACUCCACAAAGGGAAAAUCUGCUGUGGUUCCGCAGCACAGGGCCAAGGACGGUGUCAUGGGCCACACUGCCACAUCUAGGUGCACAACUUGUGCUGGGCAUAUUCAUUCAUUAUAUUAAUUGCUACGUGGCUAGAAGUAAAAACUUUCAAAAAGCUAUAAUUAACUUCACUAGUUCCUUGUAAUAUAUGACUUGGCUUUGCAAGGAUAUUUUUUCUCCUCUUGCUAAUCUUAACUUCCUAUAUUUCCAUUUUUCCCAAUUGAUGAUCAGUACAACUAGUUUGGCAUUUGCAUCUGAGUCACAGCAGUGCUAGCAAUCAAAAGCCGCCCUGGGGAACCUGGAUUUGUUUCAUUCUCAGAGGGAGUGACACGUGUUCUGACAUCUGAGCCUUCUGAGUGAAUGGAGUGAAUCUGGCAGUCAGGCUGGGAUUGGGGGACACAGGGUGCCUUGAGCCUGACUUUCGUGCUUUCAGAGCCACAGUGCUGAUGAUGGGAGUGGUGGCUUGGUGUGGCAUAACUGUGCCACCACACCUUGGAGCUGAAAAUGCAGUCCUGGAUAUAUACAUUCAGGGUCUUGCUUUCAUCUCUUGAGAGGGGUUUCAGUCUCCCAAUCCUGCACUGGUCUGAGUGCCAGCAAACAGAGUCAUCAUUUGCGUGCCUGUGGUCUCCCAGGGAGCACAGGAUUUCCAAGGAAAUUGAUGGAUGAGAAAUCAUGGGGGUGGUGGAGCUUAGAAAGCUUAUUUCAUUAGUAAAUGGUUUGAACCGUCAAGGUCCAGCUGUGGUUUCCACUGAAGGAGGAACAGGAAGAAGAGGAGCCUUGCAUUUAUCUCAAGCGCCAGCAGCUUCUCUUGGAUCAGGAAGACAUAAAAGUUCAAUGUCAUCUUCAAUUUGUGCAGGCUCCCUUUGGGGAUGCAGAGCUGGUGAAGUGAAGUAGAACAGUUAAAAAAAAACACGAGGGGAAGUGAUAAAUCACAGAGAGAGAUUGCAUAUGCGGGAAAGGUGUCUCCCACAAUUAAAACAAGUGGUCAGAGCCUCCGUGGCAACCUCUGGUCUGCAUUGCCAGCCUGGAAGAUGGCUGCUAAAUUACUUAAAUUUAGUAGGUAGUUAACAUGCCCAUCCCUCCUUAUGACCCCAGUGGGCCAAAUGGCUCUGCUUGCUUUAGGAACUGGGCAUUGUAUUGUAGAGCAUCCUCAGCCUUGACAUAAAAGGUAGCACACUGGCUCCCCAGCCCUGAACCUUCCCUUUCUUGUUGCUGGAGCAAGGCAGGGGUAAGAUGGGGAAGGAAAGAAAGAGGAGUGGGGAGUGGGGCGGGGAGCAAGAAUGUACAGGGAGCAGCAGCACCACCACCAGAUGUGGGCAUAGCGCUCAUGGAAGAGAUUGCCGUGGCUAUCGGAACUCUGACUCUCCACCCACUGGCUCUGUGGACGCACAGGGAAGGCAUUAGGAACUGCAGGUAGCGCUUCUCCAGGAUAUAACACCUUGGGCUCAUCCCUGAAGGCCACUCCCACCACUCACACACACUGGAUGAGUCUUGUCACUGUUGAGAGCUUAGUUUUCUUGUUUCUGGUAGCUCUAGAUAGAAGAAUGUAUCGGCCUCUUUUCCAAAAGUCUGCAAGCCAAUCCUGUUUUGGGUUAAGAGACUUUACCCGGUCAAGCAGUUGUUGUUUGGGAGGUGUAGAAGAGCCUGCCUGGCCUGCGGAGGGUAUUUUACGACCAUUUGGAAGUGCCUGAGGAUAUUACCAGGCCUUAUUUGAUGCAGUAAAACAUCCCAUUUGGCCCCUCGGCACUGAAGAUAUGUUUGAGUGCAGCUCUCCUCCAGCACUGGAUUUGCUGCUGCAGCAGUGGGAGGGAAGAGCCGGGAUGCAAACUCAUUCUGCGGGCCGAGGUUCUGUUCUCAUGAUCUUUGCUGUGAUUUCUCUUUUGAUGUUGGCAAUUUUAAAAUGACAUCAGUCUAUCUGGACCUUUUUCCUAAGGCACUUGCUCAGACCACUCAGUAGAUACCAUUUAGCCGCCACCUGCCCAGUGAGGUGAAUCAGGCCCAUUAGGCCAUUUGUCAGGCGAAGGAAUGGAGGAUUGAGGGCCCCGCCGGCACCACAGGGCAGCCUGAGAAACAGGCAGACAGGUUUCCAGGCAGCUUCUGCCGCUUUGGGUUCCUCAGGGAUUAAUACGCAAAAAGGGUUCCUUGGGUUUUCCACGGCAGAUUUCUCUUGAGAGCAGAUAAAGUAGCUAAUACCAAAUUGGAUUUGUUCUUUGGGGUGGACUUGGCCUUUCAUUCCACCUCUGUGUAGGGUAAGUGUGUGGAUAGUGCUGCCACUGUGCACAUCAGCAGAUGGCAUUUGGGUGCAAGCUGUCCCUAGCGAGACUGCAGAAAAGCUUGAUCUGGCCACCUCACACAGCCAUCCCCCUUCACUGGCCCUUCCUCUUGGCUCAUUUGGAAGGGGGAAGGUUUCCCACACCCCAAACCAAAGAUCCUUUUGGAAUUUGCUGCUACUGGAUUCAGCUGUCACCUUUCUGCUCCGAGUCUGCUUUCUCCCUGUGGAUCUGCGUGCCAGAGAAUCUGCGUGUCCUUUUGUGUCUACACCCUCCCCCGCUCCUUCAUUUUCAAUAUGUAGUAGCAAAGAGGAAGUAUAACAUGAUUUUAGGGCUCGCAUUUCAAUUCCACUGCAUUUUUAUGGGACAAGCCGAGACCCAGCGCCUGGAGUUAUUAGGUUAGUAUCUAAAAUGGGUUCAGCGCUAUGAGUCUUAUUGUUUAAAAUGAAUGAGAUGGUCCUCUGCCGCCUUCUUUUCUCCUCCCUUGGGAUGAGUGGAUUGAGGCAAAGCCCCCAGAGACGAGCUGAAGGAAUCCUGGCGCUCUGAUUAGUUUUGUUCCCUGGCUUAAUUGUACAUCUUCCUUUCUCUCACCACUGAUAGCCAAAGUGGCUCUGUGUCUCCCCCCACCUCCCCUUGCUUUAGGAACAAGAUGAUCACAAUGCAGCCUUGUGAAUCAAUUUUCUCUCUGUGCUGAUGAAAGUGUAAUUCAUUCUUAAUCAAGCAGCCUUGCUGCUGCAGGCUUCAUGCCGGAAUACAUUUAGUUACCCUGCCAUCACUUUGGGAAACUAUCCCCCAAAAGGACUUUUAGAGGAGAGCUGGAAGGAGAGUUGGCAGUGUGCCUUGGGCUGUGGUUUUCCAGCAGGGGGCACUCUCAGGAACGAUGCUGGUGGAGGCUUUGUAGCUGGAAGCCUUCCUCUGCUGGCAGGGCAGCAGGGAAAUGUUUGUCACAGGGACCUUCCAGGCUUGCUUUCUCCAGACCCUGGGGCCAUUUCUCAGGAGUACCUUAAUGGCCCACCCAGAAUCCUCAGGUAGCAGUGAGCAGGAACAGUUGAGGCUGCAGAUGGCAUGCCUGGGUUAGAGAGUGCAGGCUGGGUACCAGUUUCUUUUAACCGGCCGCUUCUCUCUUUUUAAGUAGACAGAUGUGUCUCCUGAAUCUGAACUUGUUUAGAUCAGGUAGAUGUGUCUGUUUUUGUCACACCACGCACAAUUUGGGGAGCGUAAGGAGUCGUGGCUCUGCCAGAGUGGAACUCUCGUAAGUUCUCCCCUGCCCUCUCACAGCCUGCUGGCUGUCACAAACAGCUGGCAGUUUUAUGGAGAGGUGGGCAGGGGGAAAGGGACUCUGCCAGGGCUGAGUCUUGAUGUUGGGCAAGAAGAGCCAGGCCCCAACAAGUGGAUCAGCUGUGAAGAUGAACAGUAAGAUAGCAACAAAGCCUCACAGAUCUGCCCCAGAGGAAGAAAAGGAAGUUCAUCUUCAGAAUGGAAUUGGAUUAGUGACAGACUCGAGCAGCCGGUUCAGUUGAGAGAGAACUUAAUUCCUCCUGUGUUAUUCACGCGGCUGAUUCUAAUCAGAUGUGAAGAGACAGCUGGAGAAGAGCAGUGGGUUAGCCCGUGCCUGGUGCGGAGGCUUCAUGUUCUUGUAGGCAUAUUCAGGGAGCUGGCAGGAGUGCUUUGGGUUGGAGACUCUGAGCAGGGCCCUUGGGUUUAUAGCCUGCCCAAGGAGCUGGGCCCGGCUGCAGGACUCCCAUGGUUGGACCUCGUCUAGAUUCAGUGAGAGUUGUUUUUUUUUUUUUUUUUUUUUUUACAGAGUUUCGCUGUUGUUACCCAGACUGGAGUGCAGUGGCACGAUCUCGGCUCACCACAACCUCCGCCUCCUGGGUUCAAGCAAUUCUCCUGCCUCAGCCUCCCGAGUAGCUGGGAUUACAGUCACGCGCCACCAUGCCCAGCUAAUUUUUGUAUUUUUAGUAGAGACGGGUUUCACCUUGUUGACCAGGAUGGUCUCGAUCUCUUGACCUCGUGAUCCACCUGCCUCGGCCUCUCAAAGUGCUGGGAUUACAGGCUUGAGCCACCGCACCCGGCCUUCAGUGAGAGUUUUGAAGGAGAGCACAUGGCAGAUGUCACUGGUCACACUCACCAGAGCGUGGCCCACUCGUCUUCAGGAUUCAAAGGCAGUUGACCAGACUUGGUAGGUCCCGGACUGGUGCAGACAUUGUCCUUGAGACCCUGCUUGUACACCCUGAGGUGCUCCUGCUUCAUCGCCUGCUGAAAUUUGGAGACCUCCUCUUCCUGGAUAACCUUCAACAUACACAUUGUAUGUGCUAGGAAUUCCCCACCCUCUGGGGGACUCCACUUUCCAAGCAGGCAAGGCUGGGAAGGGGAGGGCUGUUUCUGGAUUGCCAAAGGGAGCAUUUUUGUUUGGAAUUCGGAGAGGGGAUGGGACUCACCAGAGUGGCUUCAAGGCUCUCAACUCACAGUGCAACAUAGGACAAGGGAGGGCCUUCAUGGGACUCUCUCCACAGCACCUUCUGGCUCUAGCAAACAGGUGUUGCUGGGCGGUGUAGAGGGAGCCGGGCUGGUCGCUGUAUUGGAAGAUGUACCUAACACUGGCGGGCCUGCACACCUUAGGGUAUGAGAGCAUCACAGGGGAACCAGGAAACUUGUUAGCCAGUUUUCAUGUGUUUAAAAAGAAGACGUGGAGGCAGAGUUGAUUUUAUGAAGGGCUAGCUUUUUGCCAUUUCUUCUGAGCUUUUGCCUGUUCCUUUGUGAAUACUUCCUGCCUGUGGCUGUGUUGCAAAUGUGGCAGCCAGUGAGUUUUCUAGAAGCAGCAGAUGGUGAAAGAUCCACAGGUGAGGAGCCUGCCCACUGGAGGGGUGAGGCAGUGCCCAGGCAGGGCGUGCAGGUGGCAGAACUGUUUGCGUGCCCCAUGGGGAGGCUUCCCAAGCUUUCUGUAGAAAAACUGUCCAAGGGCGAAUGGCUGCCCUGAGCUUCUACCUGCAGGAAAGAAGCCCAAGGACUCUACUUGUCUCACUGCCUGCCUUCCUCACCUGCUGGGGUCUGAGAUAAAGGAUACAAAGAGGUGGAAGCAGAGCCAUGGGCGUGGCUGGAAGGGCCACUCCAGCAGCAGGGAGGACCAUUGUGCAGUCACUUCUGACUCCAGGGAUCCUGUGGGGACUGGAAACCACAGGAAUUUCACACGGAGGGUAAAGGGUGGGGCAGCAGCCAGGUCUGUCUGUGGGCCAAGCAGUGAUGGCAGAAGGCUUCCAGGGCCCUUGGGCAGCAGCCAUUACUGACCAGCGCAGCCAGGUCUCAGCCGCCUCGGUCUGCUUACCUUGCAGAGCGCCAAGUCCCGAGUGGCCUUCUUUGAAGAGCUCUAGCAGGUGACCCAGCCACCCUAGGACCUGCAACCUCUGCUCCCAGCACCGCCCGAUGGACCAGACACCAAGAGAGCCAUCCAUAGGGAGCUGGCUGGGGGUUUCCAUGGGAACUCCAGAACUUUCCCCAGCUGAGUGAAGAGCCCAGCCCCUCUUAUGUGCAAUUGCCUUGAACUACAACCCUGUAGAGAUUUCUCUCAUGGUGUCCUAGUUCUCUGACUUGAGUCUUUGUUUUAAGAAGUAUUUGUCUUCCUUUGUCUAAUGUGGGAUUCCUGACUCCCAUUGUCCGAGGCUCCCUGGGGUGUGUGUGUCUUGCACUCCAGAGCUGAUCUCCAGCACCCAUCCAGGGAAGCUGUUGUAGGGAGUGGGAUACUGAAGCCCUGAGAGGCCAGUGCCAUCAUCCCCACUCCACCCAGGGUUCCAGAACAUUCAUUGCCCCACAGGUGAGGACCUGGCAUGCAGUGAAGUAGCCCAGCCUGGCAGAGCCCAGGCCCAGCAUGACUGCCAGCUUCUCAUCGUUAGGGAGCCCGCCCAGAGCUCGUGACAAGCAAGUGUUGGGUCCCCGCCAGGCGCCCCGAGGCGGCGCUCUGGCUGGCAGCUGGUGGGGAAUAGGCAAGGCAGCUGUGGCUGGGAGAGACUUUAGGCAGAAGCUGUGAUGCAGGCUGACUGCCAGCCGAGGGGCUGGGAGGCAAGCAGUGCCUUGCAGGAACUGACGGUACGAGGCACUCAGUGUCCCCCUCCGGCUACCCUAGACCAGGGUCCAAGAGGCAGGUGGGAGCCACUCAUGUCUUCCCUAUUGCCCGGCAGCCAUAGGCACUCCUACCUGUAUGGCACUGGGCACUACCUGAUCGUGCUGUAGUUAGCACCCGGAACCCGCUGUGACCGAGGAUCUGGAAGCCCUGUGGCCCUACAGGUGCGGCUUCUCACUGGGCCAGACUCCGAGCUCUGUGGCCCACUCUGCACGGCCCAUCUGCUUCACCUUCCCUCCUGGCCACAUGCCAAUGGGCACAGAUCACUUCCCAACCCACUGUUGUACCCAGCCCUCACUUUGCUGUUGCCCUUGUCCCCCUUCGGGCCCUGAAUUUUCUGUUCCCCAGGGGCCAGCCAGGGCCCUUUGUGCCCCUCCCCGCACAGACUUGUUGCAGGUGUCCACUCACAGGUGGCGCCUCCAGCUGACACAGGACCCACCUCCAUACCAGGCAGAAGAAGGUCACAGAACCACCCCCACGGCUUACUCACUUCACUCCUUGGUUUUUGUUUUUGUUUUUGAGAUGGAGUCUCUCUGUUGCCCAGGCUGGAGUGCUGGUGCAAUCUCGGCUCUCUGCAACCUCCGCCUCCUGGGUUGGAGCGAUUCUCCUCUGUCAGCCUCCGGAGUAGCUGGAACUAUAGGAGUGCACUACCACACCUGGCUAAUUUUUUUUUUUUUUUUUUUUUUUGAGACAGAGUCUUGCUCUGUCACCCAGGCUGGAGUGUAGUGGACUGAUCUCAGCUAGUUCACUGCAACCUCCACUUCCCGGGUUCAAGGGAUUUUCAUGCCUCAGCCUCCCUAGUAGCUGGGAUUACAGGCGCCUGCCACCACGCCCAGCUAAUUUUUUGUAUUUUUAGUAGAGAUGGGGUUUCACUAUCUUAGCCAGGAUGAUCUUGAUCUCCUGACAUUGCAAUCUGCCCGCCUCAGUCUCCCAAAGUGCUGGGAUUACAGGUGUGAGCCACCACGCCCGGCUCUAAUUUUUUGUAUUUUUAAUAGAGACAGGGUUUUGCCAUGUUAGCCAGGUUGGUCUCAAACUCACACCUGGGAUUACAGGCUUGCACCACCACCACCGAAGCCAGCCCCUUCUUGCCCUUUCUUUUCUCCAUGGCUGAUGCUGCUGUGACCAGCCAGGGCCCUUGAGAUCCUUCCAGUUGGGCUAUUAUGCAAAGCAGGUGAUUCGUCUUAAUCAGAUAAAAGACUCAGUAACUGGAGGCACUAUGGGGGCCUAGAGAUUUUUGGAGAGCAGAGUUGGUCUCUGGCAAUUCCAUCUGGUUUUGAGAAGCUGAGAAGCUCACAGAGAUCCUGCCUUCUUCCCACUAUCAGGCUGACCUAAUGGGGUCAGGCUGCUCGGCACCUGCUUGGGCCACCUUGCCCCCAAGAAACCAGCCCUGGGUACCACCCAGCUGCUGAUGGUCUGCAGGGUGGGACUCCAGACCUGGAGCCUAAGUGUAGAUGCUGUGGCCCUGUGUCUUCCUAGUCUGUCCCAGCCAGGAGCAGAAGCUUCAGGUGUUUGUAAAGUGAGGUCUGACUCUUGUGUUGUGGCUCUGUCUCUUCAGUCUUCUUUUUUUUUUCGAGAUGGAGUCUUGCUCUAACGCCCAGGCUGGAGUGCAGUGACGCAAUCUCAGCUCACUGCAACCUCCACCUCCCGGGUACAAAAGUCUCCUGCCUCAGCCUCCCAAGUAGCUGGGAUUGCAGGUGUGUGCCACCACACCCGGCUAAUUUUUGUAUUUUUAGUAGAGACAGGGUUUUGCCAUGUUGGCCAGACUGGUCUCAAACUCCUGACCUCAGGUGAUCCGCCCACUUGGCCUCCCAAAGUGAUGGCAUUACAGGUGUGAGCCACCAAGCCCGGCCUCUCUUCUGUCUUAAAGCCCAUCCCUGGAUUUCCACCAGGAGUUACUUUCCUCCCGACCUGUAAAUUUAUUCUUUAAUAGUGACUGCAGGCCAGAGCAUAAUGGUGGUUUAUAAAAACUUGUGGUGCUUUGUUUCCUUAUUUAACUGCUGUGUGUACUUCUGAAGACUGGGAAGUGCCACGCGGCCUCAAGGGAGCUGGCUGGUGUUUGAGCUGUGGCAGAAGCACCUGGGGCUCCGGGGAGCAGGCUCAGGACUGCAGGACCUCGCGCAAUCACAAGCACUUCCCCCUCCUUGAGGCAGGAAUCCGAGGUGCCUCCCCCACAGACGGAGAAGGUGGAGAGGAGGAUGGGCCCCAGGUGGGUCUCAAGCCUCAGUAGCAGGAGAAAGAAAGAGAUGCCUGAUUUUCAGAGACUGGUGCCUGCGGCUGGGAUGACUGCAUCCUUUUUAAGUGAACGUUUUAGGGCCUGGGAGCUUGUCAAGUAAGGAAGUCUCAGAAGCCCAUAGAGUGGCAUCCUGCCCAUGGUGAUUUCAUCACGAGCCCUUCUGCUGGCUCUUGGGCAGAAGCCCCAUGGCACUGGGACCCUUCGUGAGGUCACUGCCCAGCUCAUGGUAUCUGCAAGGCUACCCUGUUGGCCGGUAGCCAUGCACAGCUGUGCAGCACAGACCGCUUCAUUCAUCCUGAUUGGGGUCCCAUGUCAGCCACAGCAGUCCCCAACCUGUGUUGUCCACCCCGUUAUCAAUGUACCUGCCAGGCCCUGCUGGACAGACCCCGUGGCAUCACAUAACACUUAAUGAGUGGCUGUGUCUUGUAAUUUUGGGGACAGGUUUCUCUCUCUUCCUCUCUUUUUCAAAAGCCCAGAGGCUGACAACCAGCCUCAGUGACUAAGUGUUCCUCACUGACAGGGCGGGGCCUCGCCACCCCUGGAGGAGCAGCCUUGGUAGGGAGCCAGCCUGGCCCAGUGGCCCUGGGGCCAAACCUGCCCUCCAGGGCUUUCAGGGAAGCGCCAUCCAUUUUCAAAGAUGUCAAAGUCACUUCUUCCUUUGGGCCCGAGUCCUGCCUCCUGUCAGGGCCAGACCGUGGAAGGCUAUUUUCUAUUCUGGGGAACUAUUGUAAUUUAAAUGAUUGUUUUAAUAAAAAUUCUAAGCUGGAAAA